GGGGCUGUAGCUCAGUUGGUAGAGCGCGUCAAUCGCACUGAUGAGGUCAGGGGUUCGAGUCCCCUCAGCUCCACCA
rnacentral:tRNA from 1 species